rnacentral:rRNA from 1 species
AACGAACGCUGGCGGCAGGCCUAACACAUGCAAGUCGAACGAUGCCUUCGGGCAUAGUGGCGCACGGGUGAGUAGCACGUGGGAACAUACCUUUCGGUGGGGGAUAACUUCGGGAAACUGAAGCUAAUACCGCAUACGCCCCUUGGGGGAAAGAUUUAUCGCCGAAAGAUUGGCCCGCGUCCGAUUAGCUAGUUGGUGAGGUAACGGCUCACCAAGGCUCCGAUCGGUAGCUGGUCUGAGAGGAUGACCAGCCACACUGGGACUGAGACACGGCCCAGACUCCUACGGGAGGCAGCAGUGGGGAAUAUUGGACAAUGGGCGCAAGCCUGAUCCAGCCAUGCCGCGUGAGUGAUGAAGGCCUUAGGGUUGUAAAGCUCUUUCACCCACGACGAUGAUGACGGUAGUGGGAGAAGAAGCCCCGGCUAACUUCGUGCCAGCCGCCGCAGUAAGAC